ensembl:scaRNA SCARNA7 small Cajal body-specific RNA 7
UGGAAAUGAUGAAAUAGAGAUACUUGGGUGUUGAAUGUUGCAUGACUGGAAAUUUUAAUAGUCUGUUAAUUCUUCUAGUUGAAUAUUUUAUAGUUAGUUAAUAGAAUGUGUGUGCAUGUGUGUGUUUUUGUGGUGGCUAGGAAAGGGGGCACUGAAUGGUGAUGCUGAUAUUGGAGUGCAUCUGAGGCUGUUGUAGAAAUAACAUGGGUUGUUGAUUACAACAUUGCUGAUGAUUAUAACCCAAGAACAGCUCACCUAACCAGCCUAGCACCCCAAAAUCUCUAACAGGUUCAUUAAACAUGGUCCUGUGAUCUGAUCCAA